CUGGCCCUCGCUGCCUUUGGGCGUUCUUGCUUCCCUGGACUCCUGGAUUCAUCAAGCAGCUGGUCCAGCCUGUACGAGGCUCUUCCUCCUGGCCCGACCAAGCGCUGUUGCCGAGACCUGAGUCAAUUUGGACAUCCAGGUCCUUCUUAGAGCUGCAGUAGUCACUGAUCCAACUAGAGGCUGGUCUGAAGACUCCCCCAGAAGUGUGAACCUUAGUAAGGACACAGAAGUUUUCCAGCUCGUUAUACCAGGGCCAGCAAUAUUCUCCAGUGUCAACAGGGGCUUGGGCUGAGUGUGGCAGUCAUCCUCUCUGGAGGACCUGUGGUGCCAACUCGCAGCACCUGCCAAGGCAAAGUGCUUGAGCAGCCUCUGUGGGGGAUUCACUGACACUGUGGCCAAAGCUUUGGUGUUCAGAAGAUGACCUUGAGUAGGUCACUUCAUCUGCCCAAAUGUUCUACCACUCAUUAAAUUUAGAUAAAAAUACUUGUCUGGGUUAGUAAAAUGUCUUUGAGAUCAUUGGACAACAAAAGCUAUCCAACUGGUGAUUAUUAUUACUAUUAUAAUUACUUUCAUUAAAUGAAACCAGCUGA